CUCGGGGGAGGGUUGUCUCUCAGCCUGGAUUGCAAGAGGCUGCAGGCUAGGCUGAGGGACCCCACCUGUGCACG
rnacentral:pre_miRNA from 1 species